AUUGAACGCUGGCGGCAGGCCUAACACAUGCAAGUCGAACGAGUGGCGGACGGGUGAGUAAUGUAUGGGAAACUGCCCGAUGGCGGGGGAUAACUACUGGAAACGAUAGCUACUACCGCCUACCAUCGGAUGUGCCCAGAUGGGAUUAGCUAUGAGGUGGGGUAACGGCUCACCUAGGCGACGAUCCCUAGCUGGUCUGAGAGGAUGAGCAGCCACACUGGAACUGAGAAACGGUCCAGACUCCUACGGGAGGCAGCAGUGGGGAAUAUUGCACAAUGGGCGAAAGCCUGAUGCAGCCAUGCCGCGUGUAUGAAGAAGGUCUUCGGGUUGUAAAGUACUUUCAGCGGGGAGGCGUUACCCGCAGAAGAAGCACCGGCUAACUCCGUGCCAGCAGCCGCGGUAAUUC
rnacentral:rRNA from 1 species